rnacentral:rRNA from 1 species
UUGGCACCUCGAUGUCGGCUCAUCACAUCCUGGGGCUGUAGUAGGUCCCAAGGGUUGGGCUGUUCGCCCAUUAAAGUGGUACGCGAGCUGGGUUCAGAACGUCGUGGGACAGUUCGGUCCCUAUCCGGCGCAGGCGUAGGAAAUUUGAGAAGACCUGUCCUUAGUACGAGAGGACCGGGAUGGACGUACCUCUGGUGUACCAGUUGU